rnacentral:lncRNA from 1 species
UUUCACAGUUAGUUAGUCUUUAACACUUAGUAAGAAACUUUUUUCUUGAAAAGGAAGUUCAUACCUUAAAAGACCACAAGCACUAUCCCCUACUCCCACAACAGUGCUAGGCAAAUUGGGAGACUGUGAUUGAUUCCUGAGAGAUGACGAGGAGUGCUAAUGGGUAGAGAAAACUGUGUAUAAGCAGAAGCUUCUGGAACCAUGGAAGUUUUUUGUGUUUUUUUUUUUUUUUGGUGGGGGGUUUGAUCUUGUGGCAGCUCAGCUUGAUUAGGCAUUCAAUCCUGCCUUGGUUUCAGGUUUGGUGGAUUGAGGAGUUUGGCUUGAUUUUCAUGGGUUGAAGAGACUUUUGCAGACUUCCACCUGGCAUUUGGAAGCUGGAGGGUGAGACUCUCCUGCUCUUCUGGCCAGAGAUUGGAACUUUGUUGGGGAGUGAGCUAGAUUUCUUCAGAGUAGACUUAGAGUUGUAGGCUAGAAAAUUCCUUAUUUCCUUCCUACAUUUCCCUUUCUUACUAUCACUAUUUUUUCUGUACUAAAGCUAUUAAAACUACCAAUAGUCUCCUGACUUAAUAUUUGAUAUUAUAAACAGUGAACACAAUUUAUAUUUGUCAAAUACCCUUUAAUUAUUAUUCAAGCUUCAGGUUCUUUGUGUAGCUGCCUAAGGAUAAGUGUCUUUAACACUUUCCCAGCCUGUGCUUUUGUCUCUGGGUAACUCCAAGCACUCUUUUCUUCUUUGGAACUAUGACCACAGUCUCCUACUCCCCUGUAUUAGCAAGGGAUGGUAUGUACUAGUGUUUCUCUUCACCCCAAGACCAAUGCCCAGGACUUUUUCCCUGAUCUACUAACUAUAAAAAGGCAUAUUAGUUAGCAGAUAUUGAUAUUGUUGGCUGCUGUUUUAGUAUAAAUAAUGUCUGAGAUGUCUUCUAUUUCAGAUGCUUUGCAUGUUGAUCCUUGAGCAUCUUCACAAUUGUGUCUCCUUUAGUAUAGAUGUCUUCCAUAUAUUUUAGGUCCAAUAUAGUGAUUUUUCUAAUCUUUGUUCUUUUUUUUUUAACUGUGUCACCUCCCCAGGACUGCCUUACCAAUUUGCAUUGGAUUAGAAUAUUGAGAUCCCAGAGGAUGUCUAACUACUCCUCUUUGGAUUCUAUAGGGUUUACUUCUGAGCAAGCUGUAGUCAAUGGACAAGUCUCUUCCUUUUUGAUCUUGACUGCCUCCUUACUGGGUCAAGGUGAUCCUUUGUCUGGAAUGACCUCACCGCCAUCUUGCAAUACAUCACAUUAGCAAAGAGGCUGAUGGGAAGUUUUGUAUUCUAUAGCUAGAAGGAGGUACUGAAGAACUAAUGAAAGGACCUAACAACUGGGCUAAACUUGUGGCCUUUUAGUCCCACGGAGAGGAGGGACCAAGAAAGUAUGAAUACAUACCAAUGCUAGGCAAGUCAAUUGAGAGUGAAUGGUGCUGUUACCCUGAACUGAAUAAAAUAAUGAGCAAUUGAACCUUUGUCUGUCUC